rnacentral:lncRNA from 1 species
GUUCUCCUUCCUGUGCCGAGUGUGGUUUGCUAUCAAGCGGUGGCAGUUCAGCCACAAUCAGGGGCAGGGGGAGGGAGAGGCCCCCCGAAGAGGCAGAGGCCCUGCCUCGGCCGCCCUGAGCCUGGAAGGUGAUUGGCUAGAGCGACUCCCGGCCGGGAGCGGAAUGAAUGGCGGGGACCGGGGCCUCUGGGUGGUGCGAGCAUCAUGUUGCCUUUUAAUAUGGAGCAUGUGCCAUAGCUCUCCAGGAGAACCCCUCUGUGUCACAGCGAACCUCAGUCACUGACACUCAAAAGAAGGAAUUAUUUCAACUCAAUAAUAAACAAAUAACCCUAUUUUAAAAUCAGCAAA